rfam:Methyloprofundus sedimenti strain WF1 Contig001, whole genome shotgun sequence.
UUGGGAGCCAAUGCGGAAUCUGAAGGAAGCUCUAGCCAAAUCGAUCACCUAAACGAAAGUGAACCUUCGUAAGGCGGCAACAAGGGGAUAAGGCCCGCGACCACCGAAGUCCAAUAUUCUCACCGUAACGUGUUGUUGUAUUGAAGGUAGGUAGAUCGAGAGAUAGUUGACUAU